rnacentral:rRNA from 1 species
AACGAACGCUGGCGGCAUGCCUAACACAUGCAAGUCGAACGAGACCUUCGGGUCUAGUGGCGCACGGGUGCGUAACGCGUGGGAACUUGCCCUUAGGUUCGGAAUAACUCCCCGAAAGGGGUGCUAAUACCGGAUAAUGUCUUCGGACCAAAGAUUUAUCGCCUUUGGAUGGGCCCGCGUUGGAUUCGCUAGUUGGUAGGGUAAAAGCCUACCAAGGCGACGAUCCAUAGCUGGUCUGAGAGGAUGAUCAGCCACACUGGGACUGAGACACGGCCCAGACUCCUACGGGAGGCAGCAGUGGGGAAUAUUGGACAAUGGGCGAAAGCCUGAUCCAGCAAUGCCGCGUGAGUGAUGAAGGCCUUAGGGUUGUAAAGCUCUUUUACCCGGGAUGAUAAUGACAGUACCGGGAGAAUAAGCUCCGGCUAACUCCGUG